rnacentral:tRNA from 2 species
GCAGGGAUGCCAGAGUUUGGAAAAUGGGCAGGGCUUAGAACCCUGUGGCCUAGCGCCUACGAGAGUUCAAAUCUCUCUCCCUGCA